UACGUAGGUGGCAAGUGUUAUCCGGAUUUAUUGGGCGUAAAGCGAGCGCAGGCGGUUUCUUAAGUCUGAUGUGAAAGCCUUCGGCUUAACCGAAGAAGUGCAUCGGAAACUGGGGAACUUGAGUGCAGAAGAGGACAGUGGAACUCCAUGUGUAGCGGUGAAAUGCGUAGAUAUAUGGAAGAACACCAGUGGCGUAGGCGGCUGUCUGGUCUGUAACUGACGCUGAGGCUCGUAAGUGUGGGUAGCAAAC
rnacentral:rRNA from 1 species